CGGAGGGCGGUUCCGCCGCGCGGCGGGCGCGCCGCCCACAUGGCGGCCAUCAGGGCGCUGCAACAGUGGUGCCGGCAGCAGUGCGAGGGCUACCGCGACGUGAAUAUCUGCAACAUGACCACGUCGUUCCGCGACGGCCUGGCCUUCUGCGCCAUCCUGCACCGCCACCGGCCCGACCUCAUAAACUUCAAUGCUCUCAAGAAGGAAAAUAUUUAUGAAAACAAUAAACUGGCCUUCCGCGUGGCCGAGGAGCACUUGGGCAUCCCAGCCUUGCUGGAUGCCGAGGACAUGGUGGCCCUGAAGGUGCCUGACCGGCUGAGCAUCCUGACCUACGUGUCCCAGUAUUACAACUACUUCCACGGCCGCUCCCCCAUUGGGGGCAUGGCAGGCGUGAAGAGGGCCUCGGAGGACUCUGAGGAGGAGCCGUCAGGGAAGAAGGCUCCAGUCCAGGCGGCCAAGCUGCCCUCGCCCGUCCCAGCCCGGAAGUCUCCACUAUCUCCAGCCCAGACAAACCCUGUGGUCCAGAGGAGGAAUGAGGGUGCAGGGGUCCCGCCCCCCAAGACUGACCAGGCAUUGGCGGGCAGCUUGGUCAGCAGCACCUGCGGGGUCUGCGGCAAGCACGUGCACCUGGUACAGCGGCACCUGGCCGAUGGGAGACUCUACCACCGGAGCUGCUUCAGGUGUAAGCAGUGCUCCUGCACGCUGCACUCGGGGGCCUACAGGGCCACAGGAGAGCCGGGCACCUUCGUCUGCACCAGCCACCUCCCCGCAGCUGCCUCUGCAAGCCCCAAGUUGACGGGUCUGGUCCCCCGACAGCCAGGGGCCAUGGGUGUGGAUUCCAGGACCUCCUGUUCCCCACAGAAGGCCCAGGAGGCAAACAAGGCCAGGCCGUCGGCCUGGGAGCCUGCUGCGGGCAACUCGCCUGCCAGGGCUUCCGUUCCAGCUGCACCCAACCCUGCAGCCACCAGCGCCACGUCCGUCCACGUGAGGAGCCCAGCCAGGCCCUCUGAGAGCCGCCUGGCCCCCACUCCCACGGAGGGGAAAGUCCGCCCUCGUGUGACCAAUAGCUCCCCGAUGGGCUGGUCGUCAGCUGCCCCGUGCACAGCAGCGGCUGCCUCCCAUCCCGCUGUGCCCCCGAGUGCCCCAGACCCUCGCCCGGCCACACCCCAGGGCGGGGGAGCCCCCCGAGUGGCAGCUCCUCAAACCACGCUCAGUUCAAGCUCCACAUCUGCAGCCACAGUGGACCCCCCAGCCUGGACCCCGUCCGCCUCCAGGACCCAGCAGGCCCGGAAUAAGUUUUUCCAAACAUCAGCAGUGCCCCCCAGCACCAGCCUUGCUGGCAGAGGUCCCACCCCGUCACUUGCUCUAUCCAAGGACAGCAGCAAGGAGCAGGCGCGGAACUUCCUCAAGCAGGCCCUCUCAGCGCUGGAAGAGGCUGGCACUCCGGCGCCUGGCAGGCCUUCCCCAGCCACUGCCCCUGUUCCCAGUUCUCAGCCCAAAACUGAAGCAGCACAAGCAAGUCCCUUAGCCAAGCCGUUGCAGUCCUCGUCUCCCCGGGCGCUUGGCCUCCCUUCGAGGAUGGAACCGCCAGCCCCCCUGAGCACGAGCAGUACCUCUCAGGCAUCCGUGUUGCCCCCGGCAGGCAGGAGGAACUUGGCUGAAUCCUCAGGGGUCGGCAGGGUGGGUGCUGGCUCCAGGCCGAAGCCAGAGGCCCCGAAGGCAAAGGGUAAAAGCACCACCUUAACGCAGGGUUAGUAGGGGGCUGGGAGGCAGGAGGCCCCGGGGGCCCGCAGCUCUGGGACUCUCCCCUGGCCGCACUCUGCAGCGUGUGCGGUUUCAUCAUCAGCCCCACCCGCCUUCCUCUCCGUCUCGUCUCUGUCCUCUGUGACACCUGCUCACAGCCUCCUGGGGUCCUGGCGCGCUCUCUGUGUGGUGGCUGCAAAUGUCCUCAGGGCUAUGCUGUUUGCCGGCACCCAGCCCACCCCAUCCGUAUGUCCUGCAGGUGCCUGCAGCCCAGCCCUGCAGCAUCCCGCUCAGCUCGGUCUGGCAGUUACAUCCGGUGGCUCGCAGUGGCCUGGCUUGGCCAUGGUCUGUGGGGCCUCCUGUUCUCCCGUGGUGUUUUGCGCUUCCUGCCUGUUGCUUUGUUUGACGACGUUGCACUGUUGCUGUGGCACUCUGUGUUACCACAUGCCGGAGAUGGUGCCCUAUGCCCCGUCCCCCCUGUGGUGUCCCGGUGACGGUGCUCUAUGCCCCGUCCCCUCCGCUGAUGUCCCAGUGUGCCCUGUCCCCCCUGGUGGUGUCCAGGUGAGAGCGCCCUGUGCUCCGUCCCCCCCGGUGAUGGUCUGGUGACGAUGCGCUGUGACCUGAGGGCUCUGGUGCCUCCUAGGCUGGGAGCUCUUCCUGGGGACUCCCUGGACCACACAGUCCUGUUUUAUGGCCUCACGUGUUUUCGGGAACAGGGAGCGAGCUUUCUUCUAGGCAACUGGCCGUCACCCACCAGGGGUUAGCCCCCCUGGCUGAUCAUGGCCAGGCUGGGCAGGACGUGGGCUUAGGGCUUGUGAGGCCAACCCUCUGCCAGCUGGGAGGCCCAGGGCACGGGGAUGGCCAGGCUACCCAGUGAGCUGUCAGCUGUGCCAGGACAGACCCCAGGCUCCUGGUGGCCCUGCUUUGAUGCACGGCUCUGUCUCCCAACCUGGGGGCAGCCGAGUCCCCCUCCCCGCCCCACUGCAGGAAACUGGCCGUCCCUGCCACCUGGGUGUGCGUAGAAAAAAGCUAGAGGUUCCCAUGGCUUUAUCCAGCUGGGCUCAGAGAACAAGAUGGGCUGCAAAGGGCUUUUCCAGAUCCUUCUCUUCGGCUGAGUUCUCAUUGUUAAAGCCACGCCCUGGAUCCUGCAGGACCCAGGAGCCAAGAAAGCCUGCAGACGGGCAGCCGUGGCUCAGGUGUUCCCCUUGCACAGGUGGACAGAGGAUCAGAGCCCACGGGGCUCACCCUGCCACGUCCCCACCCAUUCGGCAGAAGGGGAAGUUGAGGCCCAGAGGCAGGGAGAGCUUCCCCCAGGGACACACAGCACAGGAGAGCCAGCUGGGAGCCCCUCCCCUGACUCCCUGCCCGGUGCUCCUGAUGCCUCCCGGCCGGCUGGCUGUGGGGGUGUCUGAGGGUGGAGUGGCUAUGGGAAGAUGGCAGGGGGAGGCACAGCCACCCUUACAGACACCCCAUUCCCAGCACUCCUUCCUCACACCCAGACCCCUUGCCUCCCACCCAGACAUGAGCGCCAGCCCCCAGGAAGGCCAGGAGGAUGGGCCGGCAGGAUGGAGAGCGAAUCUGAAGCCCGUGGACAGGAGAAGCCCAGCUGAGAGGACUCUGAAGCCCAAGGAACCACAGGCCCUGGCAGAGCCGAGGGCGGGGGAGGCCCCCAGGAAGGUCUCAGGCAGCUUUGCUGGGAGUGUCCACAUCACCCUGACCCCCGUGAGGCCUGACAGGACCCCACGCCCAGGCAGCCCAGGACCCAGCCUCCCAGCCAGGUCCCCCUCCCCACCCCGCCGCAGGAGACUGGCCGUCCCUGCCAGCCUCGACGUUUCUGACAACUGGCUUCGGCCGGAGCCCCCUGGCCAGGAAGCCCGAGUGCAGAGCUGGAAGGAGGAGGAGAAGAAACCCCACCUUCAGGGCAAACCAGGGAGACCCUUGUCCCCGGCCAAUGUCCCUGCUCUGCCUGGCGAGACGGUGACCUCCCCAGUCAGGGUGAGUAGUGGUGGGGAGCCGGGCAGGGGCCUAGCCCUCCGGCAUCCUCACCGCUCCUCCGUUCCCAGCUGCACCCCGACUACCUCUCCCCGGAGGAGAUACAGAGGCAGCUGCAGGACAUCGAGAGGCGGCUGGACGCCCUGGAGCUCCGUGGCGUGGAGCUGGAGAAGCGACUGCGGGCGGCCGAGGGAGAUGACGCUGAGGAUAGCCUCAUGGUGGACUGGUUCUGGCUCAUUCACGAGAAGCAGCUUCUGCUGAGACAGGAGUCAGAGCUGAUGUACAAGUCCAAGGCCCAGCGUCUGGAGGAGCAGCAGCUGGACAUCGAGGGUGAGCUGCGCCGGCUCAUGGCCAAGCCCGAGGCUCUGAAGUCACUGCAGGAGCGGCGGCGGGAGCAGGAGCUGCUGGAGCGGUACGUGAGCACCGUGAACGACCGCAGUGACAUCGUGGACUCGCUGGACGAGGACCGGCUCCGGGAACAAGAGGAGGAUCAGAUGCUGCGGGACAUGAUUGAGAAGCUGGGUGACUGGGCCAGGGAUGCUGGGGGCUGGGCUGGCUGGCUGGGUGGGCCGGGGAUGCUGAGGGCUGGGCUGGCUGGCUGGGUGGACUGGGCGUCCAGUUGGGGGGGCGGGUGUCGGGCCCCCCUCAGCCUUGGUGACAGGACAGGCAGGUUCACCCUGAGAGUGAGAGCUCCCUCCCGCCCCUAAGAGAGCCAGGGGCAGCUGGUGACCGUGUGGUCAUGGUGGGGACCAGCCCUCCGGGGCACCCAGUUGGGGCAGGUUCUCACGUGGGAGGGCACAGGGCUUCCUGCAGGCUCGGAGGCCCAGGGCGGACUGUGGCCAGUGGAAGGGAAGGAUGUUUCUGGCAGGGGGACUUGUGUGGGCCACGGCUGUGUGGCUGUGGCGAUGAGCACGGCCUCACUGUCCACCUGUCCCCUAGGCCUCCAGAGGAAGAAGUCCAAGUUCGGCUUGUCCAAGAUCUGGUCACCAAAAAGCAAAAGCAAAAGCAGCCCCUCCCAGUAGUAGCCAGUAGGGCCGUGGGCUCGGCCCGGACCUGGCAUCCGGACUUGGACUCGGGGCCAUGGGCUUGGCCCGGACCCGGAACCCGGACUUGGACUCGGGGCCAUGGGCUCGGCCCGGACCCGGCAUUCGGACUUGGACUCGGGAAGGGCCUCCUGUCCCUACAAGGGGCAUGUGGACAGCAGGGACCUGCGCUACCGUCUGUGGUCUCAAUAAAGAAACCGACCACAUGGCCCCGGCCUCCUACGUGCCUCCGUGUUUGCCUCGGUGCCCCUGGGCGGCCCCCCACCUGCCUGGGGUCUCGCCUGCCUCCCAGCUCUUGCCUGCAGGACGGACGUGCUCUGUGGCCUCGGGCAGGAGCCGACCCUCUCAGGGCCUGGCCCUCGAAGGUGUUUCCCCCCGGGCCGGCCUGCCGUGACGCUCACAGCCCUGCCGUCUCAGGUCACAGUUUUGGAUUCUGCGCUAACGAGGUCUCCCAGGUGGGCUGGAAACACUGAUGAAGACGGAUAGAAAAAACACCAGCCCACCGGAUUAUUAAUAAAGAUAAUCACACACACCCCUU
rnacentral:sRNA from 1 species